rnacentral:tRNA from 1 species
GCUUUCGUGGCGAAACUGGUUCACGCAGCGUCCUUAGAAGUCGUGUCAGAAAUGACUGAGGGUUCGACUCCCUCCGAGAGCA